UACCAGCACCCCGAGUGGUCGGGACGUUUAUUGGGCCUAAAGCAUCCGUAGCCGGUUCUACAAGUCUUCCGUUAAAUCCAACUGCUUAACAGGUGGGCUGCGUAAGAUACUAUAGAGCUAGGAGGCGGGAGAGGCAAGCGGUACUCGAUGGGUAGGGGUAAAAUCCGUUGAUCCAUUGAAGACCACCAGUGGCGAAGGCGGCUUGCCAGAACGCGCUCGACGGUGAGGGAUGAAAGCUGGGGGAGCAAACCGG
rnacentral:rRNA from 1 species